CAGUCCCGUAGUGAAUUCACGUUGGGUUGCAACCCCAAAAACGCCCCUUAUCGGUGCCGGGGCU
rnacentral:tRNA from 1 species